AACGCGAAGAACCUUACCUGGGCUAGACAACGGCGGACGGUCCUGGAAACAGGAUUUUCCCUUCGGGGACUGCCGGUUCAGGUGCUGCAUGGCUGUCGUCAGCUCGUGCCGUGAGGUGUUGGGUUAAGUCCCGCAACGAGCGCAACCCUUGCCCUUAGUUGCCACCAUUUAGUUGGGCACUCUAGGGGGACUGCCGGCGUUAAGCCGGAGGAAGGUGGGGACGACGUCAAGUCAUCAUGGCCCUUAUGUCCAGGGCUACACACGUGCUACAAUGGGCGGUACAAAGGGUUGCAAACCCGCAAGGGGGAGCCAAUCCCAAAAAGCCGGUCUCAGUUCGGAUUGGGGUCUGCAACUCGACCCCAUGAAGUCGGAGUCGCUAGUAAUCGCAGAUCAGCAACGCUGCGGUGAAUACGUUCCCGGGCCUUGUACACACCG
rnacentral:rRNA from 1 species